rnacentral:rRNA from 1 species
AACGUAGGUGGCGAGCGUUAUCCGGAUUUACUGGGCGUAAAGCGUGUGCAGAUGGGGCAGUAAGUGGUGUAUGAAAUCGCUCGGCUCAACCGGGCAGGGUUAUGCCAGACUGCUGUUCUAGAGAACGGGAGAGGGACGUGGAAUUCCGGGUGUAGUGGUGAAAUGCGUAGAGAUCCGGAGGAACCCCUGAGGCGAAGG